CAAUAGCGUAUAUUAACGUUGUUGCAGUUAAAAAGCUCGUAGUUGGAUUUCUGGAGGGAGCGUCGGCCCGUAUUUACGAGUGCGUGACGUCUCUGUCCAUCCUUGCGGGAAGGCACGGCAUUGAUUUGUUGUGUCGGAUCGCAUCAUUUACUGUGAAAAAAUUAGAGUGUUCAAAGCAGGCUUUCGCUUGAAUACAUUAGCAUGGAAUAAUAAGAUAGGACUUUGGUGCUAUUUUGUUGGUUGAGCCUAAAGUAAUGAUUAAUAGGGAUAGUUGGGGGCACCUGUAUUGCGUUGUCAGAGGUGAAAUUCUUGGAUUUACGCAAGACAAACAGCUGCGANANCGUCUGNCAAGGAUGUUNUCAUUNA
rnacentral:rRNA from 1 species